AUUGAACGCUGACGGCAUGCCUUACACAUGCAAGUCGAACGGUAACAGGUCUUCGGAUGCUGACGAGUGGCGAACGGGUGAGUAAUACAUCGGAACGUGCCCGAUCGUGGGGGAUAACGGAGCGAAAGCUUUGCUAAUACCGCAUACGAUCUACGGAUGAAAGCAGGGGACCGCAAGGCCUUGCGCGGACGGAGCGGCCGAUGGCAGAUUAGGUAGUUGGUGGGAUAAAAGCUUACCAAGCCGACGAUCUGUAGCUGGUCUGAGAGGACGACCAGCCACACUGGGACUGAGACACGGCCCAGACUCCUACGGGAGGCAGCAGUGGGGAAUUUUGGACAAUGGGCGAAAGCCUGAUCCAGCCAUGCCGCGUGCAGGAUGAAGGCCUUCGGGUUGUAAACUGCUUUUGUACGGAACGAAAAGACUCUUUCUAAUAAAGAGGGUCCAUGACGGUACCGUAAGAAUAAGCACCGGCUAACUACGUG
rnacentral:rRNA from 1 species